CAGAACUAUGAGCACACAAGUUUAGAUAAUAACAAUUUCCUAGGAAAAAUAAAGUUGUUGUUUUUUCCUCAAGGUGGCGCACGGAAGAGUCGUUUAGAAAGCCGAAUACACCAUUGGACUAUUUUUUUUCAUUUGACACAUUUUUUUUUUUUGCACUAAGAAAUAUACAUCUAUUAAUUUAAAGGUUGGAUAAAUUAAAUAAAAAUAUUUUUUCAUCAUAAACAGCUGUGAUCGAGCGAUCCUAACCAGCGCUGAGAAAAGUAAUAGAUACCACGUGACCACGCCUUAUUCUGAAAACAUUUAAAAAAUAAAAUUUACACGAGAAUAAUGAUAUUUAUAGAUCUUAACAGAUCUUAGAAACUAUAUAGUGAAGUGCUAAAACAAAAUUAUUAUUUGGACCCAUUGUAUUUGACCAAGCGAUUACAGACAAGGUAAAGGCAGGUAAGCACCGCCCAUUUUCAGUUUGCACGUUAACGGUACAUUACAGAUUGUUUUGCUAACCGCCACAAUGAAAUUUCGCAUUAUGAGGAGCUCGUUUAUGAAGGAUGCCCAAUUAUUAAUAUAUUGGACCCCACAGCUCCCGGCGUGUUUCAAACACAAAACCUGAUGUGUUGAUUACAAUCCAGAGAAGAUCGUUCCACAAAGCUAUCAUUACCCGGUGCCAUCUGUGAGAGGGAGUUGCAUUUUUGUGCUGCACGGAAUGGAAAAGCCUACAUCAGUUUUUCCAGCAUUUGUUUCUUCAAAAUAAAGCAUCAGGUUUUGACAGUCGAGCUCCAUUGAGGAAUUCUGGGUUGUUUCCUGGAUGCAGAAUAAGCAUAGUCCAUAAGACAUCUGUUGGAGGAG
ensembl:lncRNA